AGAAUGAACGCUGGCGGCGUGCCUUACACAUGCAAGUCGAGCGAGGCGCGGUAGCAAUACCGCAGUCGAGCGGCGAACGGGUGAGUAACACGUGGGUGACCUGCCUCUAGGUGGGGGGAUAACCCGGGGAAACUCGGGCUAAUACCGCAUAACAUCGUGAGAUCAAAGAGGGGCGCAAGCCUCUCGCCGAUGGAGGGGCCUGCGUCCGAUUAGCUAGACGGUGGGGUAACGCCUACCGUGGCAGUGAUCGGUAGCUGGUUUGAGAGGAUGAUCAGCCACACGGGGACUGAGACACGGCCCCGACUCCUACGGGAGGCAGCAGCAAGGAAUUUCCGCAAUGGGCGAAAGCCUGACGGAGCAACGCCGCGUGUGGAUGACGCUUUUCGGAGUGUAAACCACUGUUCGUGGGACGAAGCACUGACGGUACCCACGGAGGAAGGCCCGGCUAACUACGUGCCAGCAGCCGC
rnacentral:rRNA from 1 species